rfam:Dipodomys ordii contig_77711, whole genome shotgun sequence.
GGGAAGGUGGCUCAGUGGUAGAGUGCUUGCCUUGCAUGCAUGAGGCCUUGGGUUCGAUUGCUCAGCAUCUCA